rnacentral:lncRNA from 1 species
GGUUCCUGCUGAGGCCCUUCCAGAUCCAAUGCAAGCAAACAGUACCCGUGUGCCCAGCGUGGAGCUGGUCCGAGCCCUUGGAAAGGGUCGGCAGCGGAAACCAGCCAGGCCGGCAAGUGACAGGUACCCGGCGGCUACGUCAGCAGAAGCUGCACUGGUCUCAGGAGACACAUGGACCACGCCUCGGCUGGCUCACCACACACCGACACUAGCGAAGGCAGACUCCACACUGACCACAAAAGCUGUGGCUGCCUCUGGUUUCUGUCACUCUCAACUCCAUAACCUUACAGUGUGACACCAGUUAACUCCAGAGUCCCAAUCCCACAGGGCCCAGGCUAGCACCUCUCGCCUGCCCAGCCUGCACACCCAGCCCAGCCCCACACCCGUGUGCCCUGGCCAGGUGUGUGCCACCUCUCUUCCCUCCCACUGUCGAGUCUCCUGGACUCCCUGCCCAAGCUCCCGGGGAGACCCAGGCUCACCUCUCAGGGUCAGGGCUCAGACCAUCCCAUGGCCACGCGCCCACACUCUUCACACCACGGAAACAUCUACAUAGACACUGACGCGGCCCAACACAGGUGCCACCUCGUAGGAAAAGGAAGCCAAGGACUCUGCUGCAAGCAGGGCCCAUGACAGAUGCCAUGAUGGGCAUGACUCUCCUAAGGGGUCCUAAGAGCAUCCGUCUGCAGGAGCUCGUGGCCGCAGCCAGGGGGCGCAGUAGGUCCUGAGUCCCCCUCCAGAGGGGACUGUGCUAAGCAGCCUUGGAGAAGAUGCUAUUGGGGUUUUCACCUGCUCUGGGCUCCCGUCCUGCCCCCAAAUAAAAGCCUGUGUGAAAAGUCCCCGAAACAAACUCCUGCCUCUGAGAUUCAAGACCCUGACUGCCUGGCUGGGCACCUUGAUGCUGGCUCCACCCUGCAUCCCUGCUAGCAUCUGGGGUCUGGCUCUGGCUGACCAGCUGAGAGCCUGCACCAGCCCACUGCCCAGGCCACACACGGCCUUGUUCUGCAAGCACAGUGGAAACACACGCUCUCUGGGAACAUGCAGGUGUGUGUGUGCGCGUAGCUCUGCACCGUGAAAAUAGCAGCAACAUGGCAGGAGGGAGACGGGAAGGAGAAAGCAAACCGAUGUAACAGGAUGGAAAGGGGCACUCCCCAACACGGAGCUGGCAUCGGCGCUGUCAGCUCAGCUGCCCGGCUCUACUUCAGUGGGUAAAGGACCAAGCAGCCAGAGAAAUAAAACACGCAGAAGCCGAAGGUCCAAAGUGCAGAGAAGCCCCGGCUUGCUGUCCACAGGGCCACUGCAUGGUCCCCGAAUGCUGUCUCACCAGGAAAGAAGUCGAGGGCAUCCUGAAGCAGGCUCGGGACCCGCCGCUCCCCCUGGGGUUUCACGAGCUCGGGAGCUCGGCUCUGGGUACCCACAAGGGAACCCCCACAACACAACAGGAGGC